UCCUCCUCUUCAUCAAUGUCAUUCAAUUCGAUUUCAAGAUCAGUUUCAAUUCAUGUUGUCAAUCUCCCAUUUAAUCCUCCAAAUUAAGGACUCCUCGUUCGUCAAAUCCCAAUUUCAUGAAAGCAUUGAAAAAUACGAAGCAAAGGAAGAACAAGAAUUUCUUCGAAGUUGCGCGGUUGUUGCUCAACUGGGGGCUUGGAUAUCACGUGGACAAAACCCAUUGGAAGAAUGUUUCUUAUGAGAUUACCAAAGAUCAAUCUUUACAAGGAUGGUAGCCACGGGAAAGCUUGAGGGCUUGCUUACAAAUAUGGAGCAUUACGACAAUAGAGGAAGUAACAACAACAAGCAAAGCCACAAGUACUGAUCAAGACCCAAUAGAGCUUCCAGACAAUGGACCAAACUACUGACAAAAAAACCAAAGAAAAGAUGCGAACACAAUGGGUUUAUCUAGAAUUCUAGAUAUAUCUUGAACUUUGUAAGAUGGGCCAAAAUGUCAAAUGAUUAUUUUAAGCUCCCAAAUUAUAAGUUAUAUGGUUACAACUCAAAAGAGGCAAGUUCGUCCUUCUGAUUCUAUUGUUUCAACAUCUACUUUCACAUAGAUAUUUUGUGUUGUAAAAUACAAAGUACCAAAUUGACUGCAAAUAU